UUGGCAGAGGUAUUGCUCAGGACCCAGGAACUUGCAGUACAAUAGUUUAGAUUAGCGGUUUGCAAGAAGUUCGUCGAAUUUAAACGCUUUUCGUUGACCGCCAUAUUGAAUGUUCUCUCUAGUCUCAAAUUAUAUUUUCUGACCAGUAGGUGGUACAUUUGGAGCCCAAACCAUACACUCAAUGGGCUACCGGCAUUGCCAAAAGGCGCCCCUUUUAUACGAUCGUGCACAAACUCCAAUUAAAUUAAGACACAACAAAACGUCAUAUUUAUCACCAACAGCAUUACAGUUAAGGGCACUGCAGUUUGGUAGGCUACGUUUAAAUGCACCCGUGGUCCCUCCUCUAGCCUACUCCACCCAGAGCCAGGGACUUUCCAUCCAAUUGAUGGGAACUUCAGGUGCUUUUAAUUUUUUGUUCAGUGCAUUAUAAUCUCAAGUAAGAGUCUAUCGCUUAUGGGGACACAGUUGUCGUCAAGGAAUUGUGUUCCAAUGGCGGAAGUACCCGUAGGGUUACCUGAUAUGAAUAAGAGAUGCCCAUCUUGUACCUCCAUUCUUGCCCACAUCCUUGGAAAAGGAGACUCAAGUGAUAUGGCCCAGUGUCCGCAGUGCCCCUACGCACCAUGGCGAUGCUGGGCCUGCCUCUCCCCCUUGAAAAUCACCCCUUCAACUACCACAGGACGCUGCAUCAACCGUUCAUGCCAUCUGGUGAACACCCUUCUCACGUGUGACACAAUAACGGGUAACGCUUACCUUGAGGGCUGCCCGGUGUUCCGUGCCUGCCCAAAGUGUCGCUGCUUGCUCAUGCACUCAUCUGGGUGUAAAUUUGCAACUUGCCAGAGCUGCAAACACAAAUUCUGUUUCGUCUGCUUAGAGCCAACAAAUGAGUGCAGAAAAGAUAAUCAUCUGUACUUUUUGCCAUCCUGUUGUAGACCUAGAGCAAGCAGGCAGAUUUUCCACACGUGAGCGAUGCUGUUAUUGUUGCUCUGUGUCUGAUUUAGUUAAUUUAUUGACUAAAUACAGUUGGAAUGAUGCACUUAUGAUCCUUGAUUUUUGCUGUACUUUUCUAUAUGCACUUUUUGUAUGUCCCCUUGGAUAAAAGUAGACCUAUCUGUUCAUUUAAUCAACUGU